rnacentral:rRNA from 1 species
AUUGAACGCUGGCGGCAGGCCUAACACAUGCAAGUCGAACGAGUGGCGGACGGGUGAGUAAUGUCUGGGAAACUGCCCGAUGGCGGGGGAUAACUACUGGACACGGUAGCUAAUAACGCAUACCAUCGGAUGUGCCCAGAUGGGCUUGGCUAGUAGGUGGGGUAAAGGCUCACCAAGGCGCCGAUCCCUAGCUGGUCUGGGAGGAUGACCAGCCACACUGGAACUGAGACACGGUGCAGACUCCUACGGGAGGCAGCAGUGGGGAAUAUUGCACAAGGGGCGCAAGCCUGAUGCAGCCAUGCCGCGUGUAUGAAGAAGGCCUUCGGGUUGUAAAGUACUUUCAGCGGGGAGGCGUUACCCGCAGAAUAAGCACCGGCUAACUCCGUGCCAGCAGCCGCGGUAAUAC